rnacentral:rRNA from 1 species
AGAUUGAACGCUGGCGGAAUGCCUUACACAUGCAAGUCGAACGGCAGCACGGGAGCAAUCCUGGUGGCGAGUGGCGAACGGGUGAGUAAUACAUCGGAACGUGCCCAAUCGUGGGGGAUAACGUAGCGAAAGCUACGCUAAUACCGCAUACGAUCUACGGAUGAAAGCAGGGGAUCGCAAGACCUUGCGCGAAUGGAGCGGCCGAUGGCAGAUUAGGUAGUUGGUGGGGUAAAGGCUCACCAAGCCUUCGAUCUGUAGCUGGUCUGAGAGGACGGCCAGCCACACUGGGACUGAGACACGGCCCAGACUCCUACGGGAGCAGCAGUGGGGAAUUUUGGACAAUGGGCG